AACGAACGCUGGCGGCAGGCUUAACACAUGCAAGUCGAACGGUUGUAGCAAUACAGCAGUGGCAGACGGGUGAGUAACACGUGGGAACCUUCCUAGGGGUACGGAACAACUCAGGGAAACUUGAGCUAAUACCGUAUACGUCCGUGAGGAGAAAGAUUUAUCGCCCUUAGACGGGCCCGCGUCGGAUUAGCUAGUUGGUGGGGUAACGGCCUACCAAGGCGACGAUCCGUAGCUGAUCUUAGAGGAUGAUCAGCCACACUGGGACUGAGACACGGCCCAGACUCCUACGGGAGGCAGCAGUGGGGAAUUUUGGACAAUGGGCGCAAGCCUGAUCCAGCAAUGCCGCGUGCAGGAAGAAGGCCUUCGGGUGUAAACUGCUUUUGUACGGAACGAAACGGUCUGAGUUAAUACCUCGGGCUAAUGACGGUACCGUAAGAAUAAGCACCGGCUAACUACGUGCCAGCAGCCGC
rnacentral:rRNA from 1 species